GGAGCAGUACAUAAAAGUUACCCCUCAAGAACAUAUCCUUCUAAAGGGCAACCAAAUAUAAUUGUUUCAUGUGGUGCUGUAUAAUUGAGACGACUUGGAAUUCCCCCUCUUGUAACACUUUUGAUCUCUCUGUUAAGUUUGACAGGGUAAGGUUAAAUCUCCUCCUAUCACGGGGUGGGAAAUACUUUUAGUGCUAAGAAUAGCUCUUUAAAGGCAGAUGGAAAAUCUCCUUUUCCAAUGUACUUGUUAAUUACCAUAACACUCAGUGAAUUCAUCUUUGCUGGCAGAACAUACCUUGUUGCUGCAUCAGUGAAAACUGAGUUUCUUGUUGACUAAAAGUGUCACUUGCCUGGAAUUACUGGGCCCAAAGAAGUAAAACCACAGAAAGUAGAGCAAGAUUUUGUAAAAAUACAUGGUUCUGUUCUAAGCAAAACAGCACAUUUCUUUUUAGAUGGUAUUUAAAUUGAACACAGGACUUUUGAGUCAUUAAGCCCAGAUGAUCUGAUCUGCUCUUGUUCUGGACCUCAUAAGACCUGCUGAAUUACUGGCUUUGCAGCAGUGUCACUGACAGCAGAAAACAUGUUAGUAAGAAAACUUACCAAUGUGCUUGAACCUUAGAACUUGAGGUGAGCAGUGCCAGGGAUAUCUGAGGCCUGAAGGCAGAGGCAAAACACUCCUUCCCUCCUACAAUACACAUGGAAAACUCUGAGUAAGGAAGAAGGGAUAGAGAAUAUGUAGAUCACCAGAUCUGUAUGGACAUUGCCUAUUUCCACAGGACCACCCUCACCCUUUCCCAUAUUCUUUGCCCCAGCACAGAGAGAAUCACUGUGUAACCACAGUUUAAGAUGUAUGCUUCAAUGCCUUCUGUUCGAUCUAAAAGAAUUUUUUUGACCCACCUCCCAAAGUGCUGUGCACUGCAAGUAAAAUACAUCCCUAAGAAAUUAGUAAUAUAUGAAGCCUUAUUUGACUUUCAGCUGCUGAAAUAAGAUACUCAUUUUCUCUAAAGUGUAUGUAGGUGGAUGUCUUGAGUUUAUGAACUGCCAAAUGUGUGGCUUGGGGAUAAUUGCCAGAGUUGCAAGGCAAACAAGAAGCUGCCAAGCACUGGGUAGUGACAGUGCUUACCUAAAAUCCAGUUAGGAUCCACUGUUCCUAGUAAGAAGUACAAUCCAUCUGUAGAGUUUUCCAGAACAGGCAUCUCCAAGUCAUCAUCAGCAUGAAGUGACAAAGUAUAGAAGAAAGAUUUCAGUAUACCUUCAGAGCACAUGGUACUAGGGGAAAAAAUGCAAAAUGAAUGAUCUCAGCAUAAUUAGGGAGAAGACAAUUAGCUAAAGAGUCUGUUAUUCAAAGAAAAUUGCCACCACUGAUGCUGCAGAGGUGAAGAAAAGUUUUAAAAAAAACAAGUAAUGCAUAAUUUAGAAAGCUCUGUUUUCAUGCUCUCAAUACAAAUUCACUGUAUCUUGUUAGAACUUGGCCAAUUUAUCAAUAAAAGUUAACCAAAAAAACAUGAUAUAAUUAAUUAAAUACUUAACUAUGACCCACUCAGAUAUUGAAGGGAAAUGCAAAGUGUGACUUCUUUUAGAAAUGUUUUUUCUGGUUGUUUAAGGUCUUUUUUAUUAAUUCAAAAUCUUGUCUGUACAUUGGUUUUGGUCUGUAGGUAAUCUACAAAUAAUCUGGGACUAGCAUUCAUAUCUGGAAAAUUGUGUUCUUUUGGCUUAUUUUGACUGAACUUGCAUGAUAUUCCUGUUAGCUGUGGAUACUCAGCACUUUGCUGGUGCUAGAUGUUUUGGCAUGGCUAGCUCAAAUGCUGUUUUGAGUGAUUUUUCUCUGAUGGCCAUUUAAAAUAUGUUGUUUCUAUAAGGCUGUGAUUAUCACAACCCAAAAGGAACAGUAAAUUACUGAGCAUGUUCUUUCACCAAUUUGACCGAAUAUUCCCUGAAAUAUUUCUAAGCAUUCACUGACUGGCAGAUAGCAGUGCCUUUAUAUCCAGGAGUAGUUUCCCGUGGGACAAGAACAGUUGCUGGACCUUGCUUCUACCUAUUCUCUUCAGUGCACAAUCUUUCUGAGUGACAGGGCUCUGCCCGCUUACUAUCAUAGCAGAACUCCCCCAAGACACUCUCCUUUAAACCUGAUGAGCCUGCAGCAUACUGUAUUCUUUAUUUCUGCAUUUAAAUCUCCUUCUCAGAAGUGCAUCCCUUAAAUGGCUGGAUUCUCUGUGUUUCAGUCUUUCUAGUUUGAAUGUCCUACAUCUACCACUUUUUGUCCAGGCUCCAAAGAAGCAUCUUUUUGUUUCUAACCUUAUUAACGCGGUAAGCCAAACGAUGAGUCUCCUCUGUGUGACACUCCUCUCUGGGUAGUAGACCGGCGUGCAGUGACUCGCAGCUUCUCCUGGAACAGUUUUACAGAAAACGGCAAAAUGUUUCUCCAUCUGUAUCUUGCUGUCAAGCUUAUCCACUCCAGUGCAUGAAGCAGUUAUUUCAAAGGAAAAAUAAGAUGGUGGCUCUAUUUGUUUCCCCUCCAGAACAAGUCUUCCCUACCUGGAAAAACAAACAAAACAGAGAAACUCGGGACAGUACUUUUAACAGCUAAUUAAGGCCAUCCACAACUCUCUGCUUUAAAUUGCGUAUGUGUAAGAUAGAUGCAACAAUUUUUGGAAGACCCUUCUGCAUCAGCAAACAUACUUACCGCUUUAUCUCUACAUCUUCAAAUCUUCCCCUACUGAAGCUUUAUAGAUGUGCUAAUGGUCGCUUUACUAAUGGUUGCCCUGGUCUCACUACAGUUUUUUCUUUUCAUUUUGACUGGCCCUAGGACUGCACUUUUGGGAAUGGAGAACUAGCACCUCGGUGUGUGGACUUCAGUCUCAGCUGUGAAAGAGCAGGAGAGAGGACCCCCUCAGCUCAGAGGCUCCAGCCAACUCAUUACACGAUAGCUCUUCUGCUACUCUUUCUUGAAAGAGGGGCUUGGGUCUUACCAAGCAGCAAACCACGCUUUGCAGUGGAGACUGGAGACGCUUGCCAAAUUCUUUGCUGUGGGUGUCAUUUUAACUUACUGAUACUGGCAGACACCUAUGCCCAUGUGCCCAGGACAAUAAACUCAGAAUACCUAAACCCAAGUCAAAUACUCUUUUCAAAACCAGCUUAAAUUAAACUCGCACUCUCCCAGGCAUUUUAUACCGCUAACAGAGAAAGAAAUGCAGUCUGAAUUGCUUUCUGGAGGGAUAUAAGGUAUGCGCUGCUUCCUAAUGGCGCCUCUCGCUGCAUAUGCUACCGUUCAGAAAAUUGAACUCCAAAAUUCUGUUCUCAGCUAGGCAUCUAGACACAGGCUCGAUGAAUUGUGGCCAUGUCCCAUGUUGAAUUCAGCUUUUAUCAAAUAACAAACGUAUUCUACUGUUAACCUUCAGGCAUUCAAGAGUCCUUAGCUAGUUAGCAUCUUGUUAUUAGGGGGACAUUUAUUAAGGUGAUACACCAUGAUACUCAGUACAGAAUUAAAGAUGGGAAAUUCCCACCCUUUUGUGAGAGAUUGAGGAGUCACAUCACCAAAACAAAAUUACAUUUAGGAAAGCACUGCCCUGCUUGGUUCAGCAUGUUCACGCAACAUCAUUUGGCAGAUUUACAGUUUUUAUAAAUCUGCUAAGCUAUUGCUAAGCUGUCAGUUCAGGCUAUUUCCUCUAAAUCUCAAAGAUCCAUGAGUUUAAAACUGAAAAUUAUGGGGGUUUUGACUGUGUUUUCCAGCAUACUUUGACAGUGGGUCCUCACCAUUCUUUUUUCUGAUGCACUUAGGCCCUUUUACAGUCGAUGAAUGAUAUCUGAAGAUACCACACAGAACCAAAAUCUUCCCAGACACAAAUAGCCAAUUAUAAAAUGCAGCUCAGGGUUGAAUAAAUUCCUUUCUGACCCUGUAGGUGAUAAAGUGAUGGCCAGAGGCAUGGGAUUCAUUAUCCGUAUCAUUAUCACAGCUCAUAUGACUCCUGUGUUAAUGCCAGCAAUUAGUUUGCUUAGAUUUUCUAGGAGAAAUUUUCUGUAUGAACCUAGCAAACUACAUCCUGAUCACUUUGUUCCAGCUUUCUAAGAUAGAGGCAUAAACACUGUGAAUGACCAUAUAUCUAUUGAUUAUGAGCUUGGACAGACUUAACACCCACACAAUAAUAAGACAUGUUCAAAUGAGCAUUAGGAUCCAAGACAGAUCAAGCAUGCUGCAAUUGUACCUAUCAGCCUCAUUAGCUAACCCUGACCAUCCUUCAUGCUUCACAGAAGUGCUUUCUGCAUUUUAAAAUAUCGUUAAUGGGGAAAAAACGUGUUUGGGAUAUCAAAUUAUUGCUCCUGUGUAAUGUUUUUUCUAAUGUAUUUCUGUGAGCACUGAAACUAAAUGUUCAUAUUUCACUUGGGUUGCCUUUCUAAACCAUCAUCCACUCCUAUGUAGCACAAUGCUGUACCAUGUAUGUCUUAUACAAAAUGAGAAGUGCAACAGAGAAAUGCCUAAAGACAGUUAUUUUCAGAAGCAGCAGUUUAGACUACUUAGAUUAUAACUUGCAUUAGUUGUCUUCCCACACCAGGGGAUUCUUUCCAUUUAUUUAUGUCCCCAUGAACUUCCCACUGUUACCAUCCCUUCCAGUCUUCCGUAUAUGAAAAAGAGAAGUACUUUCCUGUAGUCCUUGUGCUUUGAUAACUGAAGGAUCAUCAGAAGCAGAGUGUUACUCCACAUAGUUCACAAACGUAUCUGGUAGAGCGAAUGGAUAACAACCCCCUUAUAACUGAUCAAGAGACAGCAAUCAGGUUUUUUUUUCCUGAAAUUCCGAUGUUUUCACAUUUAGCUUUUCAUUACUCUUGAAAUAAGAAGCAAGCUUAUCAGAUCUCUUUGCAAUAAGGAAAUUACACACAAUACAUUGGUGGGAGGUGCAUGUAUUCAAAUAUUUUAUUUUUUGUUUUAGAAGGUAUUCAUUAAGAAGACAGAAUCCUGCCACAUGGUGGUCGAAAACUCUGUCCUAAGAUGCACAAAACUAACAUGCAGAGAGACAAUUUUACUUUGUUGUAUAUAUAUAAAAAAUAUAUAUAUGUACGUAUGUGUGUGUGUAUCUAUAUAUAUAUAUGUAUCUUCCCAGGAAUAUUUUUACUAGAGCAAGAAUUUGAGCAUGUAUGUGCCUUCCAGAUCUCAGGCCACUGUUGUAGUUGCCAGGCUACAGAUCAUUAGAGUCCUUAACUUUCACUGUACCUAUUUCAGCUCCUGCAAAACAAUAUACUGUAAUGACAUGAAGGGAAACAUUUUUCAAGAAAAUUUCAGCUACCUUUAGCAGAAUAGCUUCUGUAUCUUCCUAGAUAUUGCCAAAGAAUAGGAGAACCUAAAUACAAUAUAAAGUGUUUUUCUGACAUUACAAGACUAUAAAUAAGACAUUGCAGCAUGAAGAAUGGUGCCCUUAAACCAGAAGUCGGACUAUUAUUUUAGGUAUUAUACAUGAAAGUAUCCCUUCGUUUGUAAGAAUGAACCAUUGCAAUGCCUGCUUUCAGCCUGUGAUCUUGCCUUCAUGCUGAUUUGAAACAGUAUAAUUUGGCAGGCCCUUUAAACUGAGAUCCUAACUGGCCAUGCUUUAUGAGUGCUCCAUUCAAGAGGCAAUUCCAAAAGAAAGAGGAGAGAGGAGCCUGCCAGUGAAAUAGAGUUAUGGCUAAAUCUGGGAUACUCUGUGAUAUAAGUUGCUGAAAAGGGAAAACAAUCUCACAGAAUAUCAUUAUGCACGGCAAAUGAGCCAUGAGAGAUUUGGUGAAAAGAAUGAGAGGUAAUACACCACUAUAAUAACUCCAACAGCUUAAGGACAGCCUGUGAACUGAAAGUACGUAACAGCUUCAGUAAACACAAAGUUUGAAUGUUGGGAAAGGUCUUACCUGCAGCUCUCUAAAACAAAAGGCAUACUUCAUCUUUUAUUAGAAGUUUGAUCUCCGACAGCAGGCUUCAACAUUUAAUACAGGACUGUUGCUGAUGCUGAAAAUCAAAAAGCAUGAAUUACUUCACGUACAUGUAAAAGCCAAAACCCCCCAGAUUUUCCUCUGUCGUUGCUGCUCAGUAUCUUUCACUACCAAAAACAUCAGGAUGUCUUCUUCUGGAACAAGACUAAUUGUUGACUAGUUAUCUUUACUUAUUGCCUAUCUCAUGUACACAGAAACGGAACUUAAAGGUUCACUUAAGUAGAAACAAUAGCAUGUC